rnacentral:pre_miRNA from 1 species
CAAGUACUCCCUCCGUCCGAAAAUACUUGUCAUCAAAAUGGAUAAAAAAGAUGUAUCUAGAACUAAUAUACAUUUAGAUACAUCCCUUUUUAUUCAUUUUGAUGAAAAGUAUUUCCGGACGGAGGGAGUACUAC